UACGUAGGUGGCAAGCGUUGUCCGGAUUUACUGGGCGUAAAGAGCGCGCAGGCGGUCGUUCAAGUCGCGUGUGAAAGCCCCCGGCUCAACUGGGGAGGGUCACGCGAUACUGAUCGACUCGAAGGCAGGAGAGGGAAGUGGAGUUCCCGGUGUAGUGGUGAAAUGCGUAGAUAUCGGGAGGAACACCAGUGGCGAAGGCGACUUACUGGACACAUAUUGACGCUGAGGUGCGAAAGCUAGGGGAGCAAACGGG
rnacentral:rRNA from 1 species